GUUGUUCUCUAGCCGUCUCUCUCUAUCCGUCUCUCUCUAUCCGUCUCUCUCUAUCCGUCUCCUCUAUCCGUCUCUCUCUAUCCGUCUCUCUCUAUCCCCGUCUCUCUGUUGUUCUCUAGCCGUCUCUCUAUAGCCGUCUCCUCUAUCCGUCUCUCUCUAUCCGUCUCUCUCUCCGUCUAUCUCUCUGUUGUUCUCUAGCCGUCUCUCUAUAGCCGUCUCCUCUAUCCGUCUCUCUCUAGCCGUCUCCUCUAUCCGUCUCUCUCUAGCCGUCUCUCUCUAGCCGUCUCUCUCUGUUGUUCUCUAUCCGUCUCUCUCUAGCCGUCUCUCUAGCCGUCUCUCUCUGUUGUUCUCUUGCCGUCUCCUCUAGCCGUCUCUCUCUGUUGUUCUCUAUCCGUCUCUCUCUAGCCGUCUCUCUAUCCCCGUCUCUCUCUGUUGUUCUCUUGCCGUCUCCUCUAGCCGUCUCUCUCUGUUGUUCUCUAUCCGUCUCUCUCUAUCCGUCUCUCUCUAUCCGUCUCUCUCUAGCCGUCUCUCUCUGUUGUUCUCUUGCCGUCUCCUCUAGCCGUCUCUCUCUGUUGUUCUCUAGCCGUCUCUCUCUAUCCGUCUCUCUCUAUUGUUCUCUUGCCGUCUCCUCUAUCCGUCUCUCUCUGUUGUUCUCUAUCCGUCUCUCUCUAUCCGUCUCUCUCUGUUGUUCUCUAUCCGUCUUUCUCUAGCCGUCUCUCUCUGUUGUUCUCUAUCCGUCUCUCUCUUGCCGUCUCCUCUAGCCAUCUCUGUUGUUCUCUAUCCGUCUCUCUCUGUUGUUCUCUAGCCGUCUCUCUCUGUUGUUCUCUAUCCGUCUCUCUCUGUUGUUCUCUAGCCGUCUCUCUCUGUUGUUCUCUAGCCGUCUCUAUCUGUUGUUCUCUAGCCGUCUCUCUCUAUCCGUCUCUCUCUAUCCGUCUCUCUCUGUUGUUCUCUAGCCGUCUCUCUCUAGCCGUCUCUCUCUAUCCGUCUCUCUCUAUCCGUCUCUCUCUAUCCGUCUCUCUCUAUCCGUCUCUCUCUAUCCGUCUCUCUCUAUCCGUCUCUCUCUGUUGUUCUCUAGCCGUCUCUCUCUAUCCGUCUCUCUCUAGCCGUCUCUCUCUAGCCGUCUCUCUCUAUCCGUCUCUCUCUGUUGUUCUCUAGCCGUCUCUCUCUAGCCGUCUCUCUCUGUUGUUCUCUAGCAGUCUCUCCCUAGCCGUCACUCUCUGUUGCUCUCUAGCCGUCUCUCUCUAGCCGUCUCUCUCUAUCCGUCUCUCUCUAGCCGUCUCUCUCUGUUGUUCUCUAGCAGUCUCUCCCUAGCCGUCACUCUCUGUUGCUCUCUAUCCGUCUCUCUCUAUCCGUCUCUCUCUAGCCGUCUCUCUCUAUCCGUCUCUCUCUAUCCGUCUCUCUCUAUCCGUCUCUCUCUAUCCGUCUCUCUCUAUCCGUCUCUCUCUAUCCGUCUCUCUCUAGCCGUCUCUCUCUAUCCGUCUCUCUCUAGCCGUCUCUCUCUAGCCGUCUCUCUCACACGCACACACACAUGUACGCAUGCAGUAAUUCCUAGAGAGGAUCUGUGUGAUUCAUAUCUCUGAAAGUAAAUGAUAUUCUUUGAGUAUCUCCUCUCUUUCUACGGUCAGGUAGAAAAUGAGACCAGCUUCCCUCCUGGUUUCCCGUCAUUGAUUAACCAGAUAUGUCUGAUAGCGGCAGAUAAAAAAAGUGGUUUAUUCAAUUUCUAAAGUGCUAGUCUUUUUUCUGAUGAGAAUGAGAAUGGAAGAGUAAGUGACAUAACUUUUACCAGAUGGAUAAGGUGAUUUGGUUUUAAAUACAGAAUGUUUGUUUUUCCCAUUUUGCCCUACAUGUAGCUUUGGUGUCUUCCACGUGGGAGACAAAUCUGCUGGAUGUUUGUACAUUGUGGAAUGAUUUUGCUGAGUAUGAGAACCUUAACUCCCUCCAUACAGCACAUACCAUACAAAAUACACCCCCCAUCAACCCCCUCUUUCUCUAAUA
ensembl:lncRNA